rnacentral:tRNA from 5 species
GACACUUUGGCCGAGUGGUUAAGGCGGUGCCCUGCUAAGGCAUUAUCCAUUGGAUGCGCAGGUUCGAAUCCUGCAGGUGUCG